rnacentral:rRNA from 1 species
GGAUACGACCGUACCGCAAACCGACACUGGUGCGCGAGAUGAGUAUUCUAAGGCGCUUGAGAGAACUCAGGAGAAGGAACUCGGCAAAUUGACACCGUAACUUCGGAAGAAGGUGUGCCCUAUUAGUGUGUAGUGAACAACGAAGCAUGAAUGGGUUGCAAAAAAUCGGUGGCUGCGACUGUUUAUUAAAAACACAGCACUCUGCAAACACGAAAGUGGACGUAUAGGGUGUGACGCCUGCCCGGUGCUGGAAGAUUAAAUGAUGGGGUGCAAGCUCUUGAUUGAAGUCCCAGUAAACGGCGGCCGUAACAAUAACGGUCCUAAGGUAGCGAAAUUCCUUGUCGGGUAAGUUCCGACCUGCACGAAUGGCGUAACGAUGGCCACACUGUCUCCUCCUGAGACUCAGCGAAGUUGAAAUGUUUGUGAUGAUGCAAUCUCCCCGCGGAAAGACGGAAAGACCCCAUGAACCUUUACUGUAGCUUUGUAUUGGACUUUGAACAGAUCUGUGUAGGAUAGGUGGGAGGCUUUGAAGCAGGGUCGCUAGAUCUUGUGGAGCCAACGUUGAAAUACCACCCUGGUGUGUUUGAGGUUCUAACCUAGGUCCAUUAUCUGGAUCGGGGACAGUGCAUGGUAGGCAGUUUGACUGGGGCGGUCUCCUCCCAAAGCGUAACGGAGGAGUUCGAAGGUACGCUAGUUACGGUCGGACAUCGUGACGAUAGUGCAAUGGCAUAAGCGUGCUUAACUGCGAGACUGACAAGUCGAGCAGAUGCGAAAGCAGGACAUAGUGAUCCGGUGGUUCUGUAUGGAAGGGCCAUCGCUCAACGGAUAAAAGGUACUCUGGGGAUAACAGGCUGAUACCGCCCAAGAGUUCAUAUCGACGGCGGUGUUUGGCACCUCGAUGUCGGCUCAUCUCAUCCUGGGGCUGUAGCCGGUCCCAAGGGUAUGGCUGUUCGCCAUUUAAAGAGGUACGUGAGCUGGGUUUAAAACGUCGUGAGACAGUUUGGUCCCUAUCUUCCGUGGGCGCUGCAGAUUUGAGGAAGCCUGCUCCUAGUACGAGAGGACCGGAGUGGACACACCUCUGGUGUAUCGGUUGUCACGCCAGUGGCAUUGCCGAGUAGCUAAGUGUGGAAGAGAUAACCGCUGAAAGCAUCUAAGCGGGAAACUCGUUUCAAGAUGAGAUCUGCCGGGGCCUUGAGCCCCCUAAAGAGUCGUUCAAGACCAGGACGUUGAUAGGUCAGGUGUGGAAGC